rnacentral:rRNA from 1 species
UCUACGGGAGGCUGCAGUGGGGAAUAUUGGGCAAUGGGCGCAAGCCUGACCCAGCAACGCCGCGUGAAGGAAGAAGGCUUUCGGGUUGUAAACUUCUUUUAAGAGGGAAGAGAAGAAGACGGUACCUCUUGAAUAAGCCACGGCUACAUACGUGCCAGCCGCCGCGGGAAAACGUAGGUGGCAAGCGUUUUACGGAUAUACUGGGGGUAAAGGGCGUGCAGACGGGAAGACAAGACAGAUGGGAAAUCCCGGGGCCCAACCUCGGAACUGAAUUUGAAACUGUUUUUCUUGAGUACCGGAGAGGUCAUCGGAAUGACUUGGGUAGCGGUGAAAUGCGUAGAUAUAAGGAAGAACACCAGUGGCGAAGGCGGAUGACUGGACGGCAACUGACGGUGAGGCGCGAAAGCGUGGGGAGCAAACAGGAUUAGAUACCCCAGUAGUC